GGUCGUGUAGCGAAAUGGCAUCGCGUCAGUUUCCGGUUUUAAAAACAUGCCAGCUGAAGGUUGUGGGUUCGAGUCCCACCAUGAUCG
rfam:Fomitiporia mediterranea MF3/22 unplaced genomic scaffold FOMMEscaffold_5, whole genome shotgun sequence.